UGUGUGUGUGUAGUAGUGAAAAGGCAGACUGUGUUGUACCCUGUGUCCUCUCUGAAGGGGUUAUUGUGAAGGCUCUAGCCUGCUGCUUCUGAUGCUGCUCCCUCUGAGGAAGAGCAUCCUGAAAAACAUGACCAUGAUCUCCUUUUACUGGGACACUCACAUCUCAACCUCCACAUACCAGUCAAAGACACUUCUGCCCAAAUGCAAAAAGAGUCUGGUAAGCUAACGCCUCAAACUGUGGUCAGAGGGAGCUGGGGUGCAGACAGCAGACAACAGAUGGUUGGGGGUGGAAGUAGAGGUGUUUGGGGUGGAGAGGACGGUGGACUCAGUGGACGACAUCCCAGCCAUUUACCUGAUGGCAGAUGUCACAAAGUGCUUUUACAGUAACCCGGCCUACACCAGGGGAACCCGGGACAUACAGGGCACCACUGUUCCUGCCUCUCUUUCUCCCUGUGUGAUGACAUAUCCUGUUUAGGCACCUGGCCAGCUGAGUGCAGCUGGCUCUCCCGUCAACAUGAGGAUCCUGCUGCUCCAGCCCCAAAAACACAUUGGCACACAGACACACACACGCACACUAUUAGGAAUGCUAGCCUAUUUAAAUGUUUGUGUGUUGUGUGUCAGAGUUAAGGGAUAGUAAGACAGUGUUUGAGAAGAGGUGUCUGGUGUGGGAGGAGGACAUGGAGAUGCACUCCAAGUUUCUGGACAGAAAGGAAGAGUUGAAGGCGGAGCAUGCCUUGUACCUGCAGCAGCACCUGGAGCUCCUUGCCAUGAUGGCCAACUUCUUGCAGUUCCUUUCACCACGAAAACUGAGCAAUGUCUUGUUUGCCCUUGGACUUCUCCCCCUUCUCCUCCCACUUACAUCCAGGUGGCACAUUCAACACCUCUCCUUGUCAACACACUGGCUGGGUCUCAAUAGUCUGUUAGCUUCCUCUCACAGGCGCUAUAGUGAGGACAAUACUCUUGUCAUUAUUAUGAACAUGAGGCCCUCCAUCAUCAAAUAUUAAUGCUUUAAUGGAAGUUUUGUAUUUUAAUUGUGAGAAAUGUUUUACCGUUAUUGUUUGACUGAGCUUCACUGAAAACAAUUCCAAUCAACUCUGUUGAUAUGGCAAUGCAAGAGUUAGUUACAGUGUGUCUUAUACAUUUUCCAUGGUUGAUUUCUGUUAUGAACUUUGUGGUAAUUUUAGUAACUGCUACUUUGCUUUUGCUCUGAUGUGAUCACCCAAUACAUUUGUAAGAAUAAAGUUACUAAUGCUAUUGUUUGG
ensembl:lncRNA